rnacentral:rRNA from 1 species
AUUGAACGCUGGCGGAAUGCUUUACACAUGCAAGUCGAACGGCAGCACGGGAGCUUGCUCCUGGUGGCGAGUGGCGAACGGGUGAGUAAUGCGUCGGAACGUACCGAGUAAUGGGGGAUAACGCAGCGAAAGUUGUGCUAAUACCGCAUACGCCCUGAGGGGGAAAGUGGGGGACCGCAAGGACCUCACGUUAUUCGAGCGGCCGACGUCUGAUUAGCUAGUUGGUGGGGUAAAGGCCUACCAAGGCGACGAUCAGUAGCGGGUCUGAGAGGAUGAUCCGCCACACUGGGACUGAGACACGGCCCAGACUCCUACGGGAGGCAGCAGUGGGGAAUUUUGGACAAUGGGGGCAACCCUGAUCCAGCCAUUCCGCGUGAGUGAAGAAGGCCUUCGGGUUGUAAAGCUCUUUCAGCUGGAACGAAACGGUACGCGCUAACAUCGUGUGCUAAUGACGGUACCGGCAGAAGAAGCACCGGCUAACUACGUGCCAGCAGCCGCGGUAAUACGUAGGGUGCGAGCGUUAAUCGGAAUUACUGGGCGUAAAGCGUGCGCAGGCGGAUUGUUAAGCAAGAUGUGAAAUCCCCGGGCUUAACCUGGGAAUGGCAUUUUGAACUGGCAGUCUAGAGUGCGUCAGAGGGGGGUGGAAUUCCACGUGUAGCAGUGAAAUGCGUAGAGAUGUGGAGGAACACCGAUGGCGAAGGCAGCCCCCUGGGAUGACACUGACGCUCAUGUACGAAAGCGUGGGUAGC